AAAGAUGAGCAGAGAACCCAGCCAAGUUGUUACUGGAGACUCCUGACUUACGGACAAUAAGAGAGGAAAUGUCUUUUGAAAGCUUCACUGACUCCAAGCAGAUUUCUUCCAACAAUUUCUUGCUUCUUGUGAUGUUAGAAGAGCAAUUAUGUUCCUGUGAGCAGCUGAUGGAGGACAUUAUCAACAUGGAAGUACUUCUUUGUGAGAGAACUGUCAGCUUACAUUUAUAUUAAUAGAUAUUACCUUUGGACUAUAUCUGUGGGAAAAGAAAAGCUAUUUCAGUCCAAGUGAUUCUCCUGUGUCAGCCUCCCAACUAGCUGGGAUUACAGGUCUCCUUCUGAAGAGGGUGAAGGUCCCUACCCUGAAAUAUGGUCAAGACCUCAUAACAACACCAAGAAAUCCAGGGAAGAUUUAUUUUCCCAUCUCUGUGUUGGCUCAAGAAGAAAAGAAUAGAUUUCAAUGGCAGCUAGUGUAGUAUUAUCUAGAAAUAUAAUUUGUAAAUUUUUUAAAAAUACAAUCCAAUAUUACACAUUGG